rnacentral:misc_RNA from 1 species
UGGUGAUGGACAUUUGCUUGUGAUUUAGCAUUGCUGAGGAGAUAAAUAUUGAAAAUGUCUUCAUCAUAUCUGACUCAUUGUGUUUUGAACUGUUUUCAUCCACCACUAGAUUUUGAUCUUGGCCUGUGGUCAUGGGACACCAAUUUCUGUGAAAAUGAAUUAUAUGCUCAGUACAUGAGGAACUGAAGAUGUCUAUUAUUGUAAUUCCUACUCCCAUUUGGAGCUUCAUCGGUGUCUAUUUGCG